AACGCACCUUGCGCUCCUUGGUAUUCCGAGGAGCAUGCCUGUUUGAGUGUCAUGAAAUUCUCAACCUGUCGUACUUUCACAAGUUCGUCAGGCUUGGAUUAUGGGACUUGCUGGUUUUUCCAAAAUCAGCUCUCCUCAAAUGCAUUAGCAUAAUCUCUGCUGACCAUCUUUGGUAUGAUAAUUAUCUAUACUAUUGAGAGUUAGUUUUCCGUCUUGGAAGGAUUUUGCUUCUAAUUGUCUUUGCAGACAACUUGACAAUUUGACCUCAAAUCAGGUAGGACUACCCGCUGAACUUAA
rnacentral:misc_RNA from 1 species